CACCAGCACCCCGAGUGGUCGGGACGAUUAUUGGGCCUAAAGCAUCCGUAGCCGGCCUUACAAGUCCUCCGUUAAAUCCAGCUGCUUAACAGAUGGGCUGCGGAGGAUACUAUAAGACUAGGAGGCAGGAGAGGCAAGCGGUACUCAGUGGGUAGGGGUAAAAUCCGUUGAUCCAUUGAAGACCACCAGUGGCGAAGGCGGCUUGCCAGAAUGCGCUCGACGGUGAGGGAUGAAAGCUGGGGGAGCAAACCGG
rnacentral:rRNA from 1 species